CGGAGGCAGCAGUAAGGAAUCUUGCGCAAUGGGCGAAAGCCUGACGCAGCAACGCCGCGUGUGUGAUGAAGGUCUUCGGAUCGUAAAGCACUGUCGCGAGGGACGAAUAAGGGGCGGGCUAACAUCCCGUUCCGAUGACGGUACCUCGAGAGGAAGCACCGGCUAACUCUGUGCCAGCAGCCGCGGUAAUACAGAGGGUGCAAGCGUUGUUCGGAAUUAUUGGGCGUAAAGCGCGUGUAGGCGGCCUUGCAAGUUGGGUGUGAAAGCCCUCGGCUUAACCGAGGAAGUGCGCCCAAAACUACGAGGCUUGAGUGCCGGAGAGGGUGGCGGAAUUCCCGGUGUAGAGGUGAAAUUCGUAGAUAUCGGGAGGAACACCAGUGGCGAAGGCGGCCACCUGGACGGUAACUGACGCUGAGACGCGAAAGCGUGGGGAGCAAACAGGAUUAGAUACCCGUGUAG
rnacentral:rRNA from 1 species